rnacentral:snoRNA from 1 species
AAGCGAUGAAGAAAGCCAUCACACGAAACACUGUCGAUUAUAAAUCGGAACACAUAGGUCCUAGUUGUCGUUAAACUUGAACUGUCCCGAUUGCGUGGUCGAGUGCCUAAUCUUCUCUCUGAGCUUG